CAACCCUCACGCCUAGCGUGGUAUUGGGCUCGCCCCUUGGGCCUGCCUUAAAGUCAGUGGCGGCGACACUAGAUCCCUAAGCGUAGUAAUACUCGCAGCUUUUGGGAGAUGGUGGUGGCCUGUCAGCAACCCCCCAAUUUUUAA
rnacentral:misc_RNA from 1 species